UACGAAGGGGGCUAGCGUUGCUCGGAAUCACUGGGCGUAAAGCGCACGUAGGCGGGCUCUUAAGUCGGUGGUGAAAUCCUGGAGCUCAACUCCAGAACUGCCUUCGAUACUGGCGAUCUCGAGUCCGGGAGAGGUGAGUGGAACUGCGAGUGUAGAGGUGAAAUUCGUAGAUAUUCGCAAGAACACCAGUGGCGAAGGCGGCUCACUGGCCCGGUACUGACGCUCAGGCGCGAUAGCGUGGGGAUCAAACAGG
rnacentral:rRNA from 1 species